CAGCUAGUUGGCGAGGUAACGGCUCACCAAGGCAACGACGGGUAGCUGGUCUGAGAGGAUGGCCAGCCACAUUGGGACUGAGAUACGGCCCAGACUCCUACGGGAGGCAGCAGUGGGGAAUCUUGCGCAAUGGCCUAACGGCUGACGCAGCGACGCCGCGUGUGGGAUGAAGCUCCUCGGAGUGUAAACCACUGUUGCCCGGGACGAAUAGCUCGAUUAAUCGAGCCUGACGGUACCGGGUGAGGAAGCACCGGCUAACUCCGUGCCAGCAGCCGCGGUAAUACGGGGGGUGCGAGCGUUGUCCGGAAUCACUGGGCGUAAAGGGCGCGUAGGUGGUUUGAUAAGGGUGUGGUGAAAGUCCGGGGCUCAACCCCGGAUCUGCCGUGCCGACUGUCAAACUCGAGGGCUGUAGAGGCAGACGGAAUUCCGGGUGUAGCGGUGGAAUGCGUAGAGAUCCGGAGGAAGACCGGUGGCGAAGGCGGUCUGCUGGGCAGUUUCUGACACUGAUGCGCGACAGCGUGGGGAGCAAACAGGAUUAGAUACCCUGGUAGUCCACGCCGUAACGAUGGGUACUAGGUGCCUGGGGAGCGACCCUCUGGGUGCCGGCGCUAACGCAGGAAGUACCCCGCCUGGGGAGUACGACCGCAAG
rnacentral:rRNA from 1 species